AAAUCCGUGGAAUUUUUAAAUNCGUGAGGGUUCAAGUCCCUCCAUCCCCA
rnacentral:tRNA from 1 species